UACGGGGGGGGCAAGCGUUGUUCGGAAUUACUGGGCGUAAAGGGCGCGUAGGCUGCUCGCUAAGUCGGGUGUGAAAACUCUGGGCUCAACCCAGAGCCUGCAUUCGAAACUGACGAGCUAGAGUUCUGGAGGGGAAAGCGGAAUUCCAGGUGUAGCGGUGAAAUGCGUAGAUAUCUGGAGGAACACCGGUGGCGAAGGCGGCAUCCUGGACCGGCAUUGACGCUGAGGAGCGAAAGCCAGGGGAGCAAACGGG
rnacentral:rRNA from 1 species